UAUUCCGAUAACGAACGAGACUCUCCCCUGCUAACUAGUCGGUAGGAUCUUUUUCGCAUAUCUUUAUCAAUGCGAGUGGUGCUUCCGGUCAAGCUCGUUACUAAGCGCUCGUUGGUGUGCGCGUGGCUGGCGGGGAAACUCGUCGGUUGCGUGUGUGCUGCGGGUGUCAACGCGGGACCCGGUUGUGUACACUCGAAGUCCUCCGCCAUUGUGUUUUAAUCUUCUUAGAGGGAUCCACGGCUCUGAAGCCGUAAGAGACUGAGAGCAAUAACAGGUCUGUGAUGCCCUUAGAUGCCCUGGGCCGCACGCGCGCUACAAUGCCGGACGCAGCAGGUAACUCCCCUUCUCCGAGAGGAGCGGGUAACCCUCUCAAUGUCCUCAAUUGGUUAUGCACAUCUCUUUACGUGCGGUGCGUGCUUGUCGCGCACCGCACACGGCGUGAUAGGGCCUGGGGCUUGCAAUUAUUCCCCACUAACGAGGAAUGCCUAGUAGCGGCGAGUCACUGAGCUUGCUACGGCUUAGUCCCUGCCCUUUGUACACACCGCCCGUCGCUACUACCGAUUGGGUGUACCAGUGAGAGCCUUGGACUGGCGUCCUCUUCUCGCAAGAGAAGGCGGGUCUGACGGGAAGAGGUCCGAACUGGUGCACCUAGAGGAAGUAAAAGUCGUAACAAGGUUUC
rnacentral:rRNA from 1 species